CAUGGACUCUCUCUUCCAUAUAUGGAUAGAAGAGAAACGCUGCAUGACUAUUGGCUGCGCAGCUGAAGUCCGCGGUGCUGAUUGGCUGAGUAAUACUGUGAUAGAGCGAGACCAACGGCAGAUGUUCCAGAAUUCUCCUGAGAUUGAUCAUUGAGCUUUAUCUCCUGAGCAAUUCUUGAGCAUUACAAGCACUACUGACUCUCCACUUGCAGAAUAUCCA